rnacentral:rRNA from 1 species
GAGUUUGAUCAUGGCUCAGGAUGAACGCCGGCGGUGUGCCUAAUACAUGCAAGUCGUACGCACUGGCCCAACUGAUUGAUGGUGCUUGCACCUGAUCGACGAUGGAUCACCAGUGAGUGGCGGACGGGUGAGUAACACGUAGGUAACCUGCCCUGUACAGGGGAUAACAAUCAGAAAUGACUGCUAAUACCGCAUAAGACCACAGCACCGCAUGGUGCAGGGGUAAAAACUCCGGUGGUACAGGAUGGACCCGCGUCUGAUUAGCUGGUUGGUGAGGUAACGGCUCACCAAGGCGACGAUCAGUAGCCGGCUUGAGAGAGUGAACGGCCACAUUGGGACUGAGACACGGCCCAAAACUCCUACGGGAGGCAGCAGUGGGAAUAUUGCACAAUGGGGAAACCCUGAUGCAGCAACGCCGCGUGAGUGAAGAAGUAUUUCGGUAUGUAAAAGCUCUAUCAGCAGGGAAGAAAGUGACGGUACCUGACU